GGGUGGUAAUGCCGGAUGCUCCAGUUGAUCGCAUGGUCUUCUGGGAAAGCCUUUGCGGCAUGGGAUGGGGUCGCGUCCUAUCAGCUUGAUGGCGGGGUAACGGCCCACCAUGGCUUCGACGGGUAGCCGGCCUGAGAGGGCGACCGGCCACAUUGGGACUGAGAUACGGCCCAGACUCCUACGGGAGGCAGCAGUGGGGAAUAUUGCACAAUGGGCGCAAGCCUGAUGCAGCGACGCCGCGUGAGGGAUGGAGGCCUUCGGGUUGUAAACCUCUUUUGUUAGGGAGCAAGGCAUUUUGUGUUGAGUGUACCUUUCGAAUAAGCACCGGCUAACUACGUGCCAGCAGCCGCGGUAAUACGUAGGGUGCAAGCGUUAUCCGGAAUUAUUGGGCGUAAAGGGCUCGUAGGCGGUUCGUCGCGUCCGGUGUGAAAGUCCAUCGCUUAACGGUGGAUCCGCGCCGGGUACGGGCGGGCUUGAGUGCGGUAGGGGAGACUGGAAUUCCCGGUGUAACGGUGGAAUGUGUAGAUA
rnacentral:rRNA from 1 species